AACGAACGCUGGCGGCAGGCUUAACACAUGCAAGUCGAACGCACCUUUCGGGGUGAGUGGCAGACGGGUGAGUAACGCGUGGGAAUCUACCCUUCUCUACGGGAUAGCUCCGGGAAACUGGAAUUAAUACCGUAUACGUCCUGAGGGAGAAAGAUGUAUCGGGGAAGGAUGAGCCCGCGUUGGAUUAGCUAGUUGGUGGGGUAAAGGCCUACCAAGGCGACGAUCCAUAGCUGGUCUAAGAGGAUGAUCAGCCACAUUGGGACUGAGACACGGCCCAAACUCCUACGCGAGGCAGCAGUGGGGAAUAUUGGACAAUGGGCGCAAGCCUGAUCCAGCCAUGCCGCGUGAGUGAUGAAGGCCCUAGGGUUGUAAAGCUCUUUCAGUGGGGACGAUAAUGACGGUACCCACAGAAGAAGCCCCGGCUAACUUCGUG
rnacentral:rRNA from 1 species